rnacentral:rRNA from 1 species
GUGGGGAAUAUUGGACAAUGGGGGGAACCCUGAUCCAGCCAUGCCGCGUGUGUGAAGAAGGCCUUUUGGUUGUAAAGCACUUUAAGCGAGGAGGAGGCUACCGAGAUUAAUACUCUUGGAUAGUGGACGUUACUCGCAGAAUAAGCACCGGCUAACUCUGUGCCAGCAGCCGCGGUAAUACAGAGGGUGCAAGCGUUAAUCGGAUUUACUGGGCGUAAAGCGCGCGUAGGUGGCCAAUUAAGUCAAAUGUGAAAUCCCCGAGCUUAACUUGGGAAUUGCAUUCGAUACUGGGUGGCUAGAGUAUGGGAGAGGAUGGUAGAAUUCCAGGUGUAGCGGUGAAAUGCGUAGAGAUCUGGAGGAAUACCGAUGGCGAAGGCAGCCAUCUGGCCUAAUACUGACACUGAGGUGCGAAAGCAUGGGGAGCAAACAGGAUUAGAAACCCUGGUAGUCC